GGACGCUCCUCUCUAUCAACCUUGAUGCUAACGAACCAAUCAUUUAGCAAUUUGGCUACCUCUUCGUCUUCAAAAGAUUCAACUUCCAUAACAUGACACCAAUGACAUGUACUGUAACCAAUUGAUAAGAAGAUUGGGACAUCUCUUUUACGAGCUUCAGCAAACGCUUCCUCACCCCAUGGAUACCAAUCAACCGGAUUAUG
rnacentral:misc_RNA from 1 species